GGCUGUAGCUCAGUGGCACAGUGCUUGCUUAGCACAUAUGAGGCACUGGGUUCAAUCCUCAGCGCCA
rnacentral:tRNA from 1 species